rnacentral:rRNA from 1 species
GAGACGCUGGCGGCGUGCUUAACACAUGCAAGUCGAACGGUGAUCUUGAGAGCUUGCUCUUGGGUGAUCAGUGGCGAACGGGUGAGUAACACGUGAGUAACCUGCCCCUGACUCUGGAAUAACUUCGGGAAACCGAAGCUAAUACCGGAUAUGACACAGAGCCGCAUGGUUUCUGUGUGGAAAGUUUUUCGGUUGGGGAUGGACUCGCGGCCUAUCAGCUUGUUGGUGAGGUAAUGGCUCACCAAGGCGACGACGGGUAGCCGGCCUGAGAGGGCGACCGGCCACACUGGGACUGAGACACGGCCCAGACUCCUACGGGAGGCAGCAGUGGGGAAUAUUGCACAAUGGGCGAAAGCCUGAUGCAGCGACGCCGCGUGAGGGAUGAAGGCCUUCGGGUUGUAAACCUCUUUCAGCAGGGAAGAAGCGAAAGUGACGGUACCUGCAGAAGAAGCACCGGCUAACUACGUG